rnacentral:tRNA from 1 species
GUUUUAAUAGUUUAAUAAAAACAUUGGUCUUGUAAACCAAAAUUGGGAAUAAUUCCCUUAAAUCA